UUUUGCUAGAAACGUAUAACCUAUUAGGUGGAUACAUGGGAAAAGAGCUAUGUUUGCUUUGAACAUUAAAGGAUGGGAUGAAACACUCCAAAUGGAUGUAUUUGAUUUAAAAUGACAUAUACUUAUACAUAUUACUUAGCUACUGAAUGCAUUUGUUUAACAUAGUAGCCUUCUCAAGAUGACUAUGUAUACAACACCAAAUCAACACAUGUAGAAUAAUUUAUACUUAUUUUAUACAUCGAUUUAAAAAU
rnacentral:lncRNA from 1 species